rnacentral:lncRNA from 1 species
GGUUGUCUACCAUCCACUUAAGAGCUAACGCGAUGAAGUACGCCGUGCUGGUGCUGCUGUCAAUGAUCAUUGUGACAGGAUCGCAGACUGUGGACAAUUGUGAAAGGACGACAUCUUCUGGUUGGAAAUGGCAUGUGCACUGAAGGACCAUUGCCCAUUUCACCGGGCCAAACCAUGCAGCUGCCGGUGCCCAUGUGCAAACGUUACAUGUCAUGACCACAUGAGGCGAGUCACAGUUACAUGGUGUUGAACUUUUGGACACAGGAAAUAAAUGAGCAUAUCUACAUAAAACACGUGUUAUUUAGGCACGAGGUCGGUCGAAUGAAUUGCUUAACUUAUUCCCUUUGAUAACACUUAUCACAGGAUCACCAAGAAAACAAUAUAUAUGUACCGGGCGGGUUUGAUGUCAUAGGCAAAAAAAUAAAAACGGUUUUUUUUUU